CUUACUUUCACCCCUGGUGUAAACAUGACAUUUAUGAUAUGGGACAUAAAGUGUGACACAUGGAGCAAAUAACCAUAAGCACACAGACUAUCUACUGAAUAAAAUGGUGCUUGGUGUUGUGGUGUUAAUCAGAUAAUUGAAUUAUUUAAUGCUUUCUUAUUGUUUCAUAAAAAUAAUCUACCAAUGCUAUUAGACCCAUGAUUCAGCCUUUUCCACAACGCGUUAAUGAUACAUAAUAGAAUGUCACUUUGAACUUUAUUAAUAUAAUGUAAUUUAUUGGAAACAGGAGACAAAGGGCUGUGAGACAAAGGCUUAAGGGGCGGCAGGUAAACAAAGGGGCGGCAGGUAGCUGCAGGUAAACAAAGGGGCGUCAGGUAGCGGCAGGUAAACAAAGGGGCGGAAGGUAGCGGCAGGUAAACAAAGUGGCGGCAGGUAGCUGCAGGUAAACAAAGGGGCGGCAGGUAGCUGCAGCUAAACAAAGGGGCGGCAGGUAGCGGCAGGUAAACAAAGGGGCGGCAGGUAGCUGCAGGUAAACAAAG
ensembl:lncRNA